rnacentral:lncRNA from 10 species
GAGAGAAGAAUCACAGCUUUCAUUCAUUGAGAGCUCACUAAGUGCCAGGACCAUAGAGCUCAAAGCUUCUCAGCUCAACGGAGAACUCAGCACUUCUUGGACUGAUAAAUAGAGCAGCUUUAAAAUGCUUAGAACUGAAGACAGACCAACUGUGGCGAGAGAAAGUAAACACAUCCAUGCACCAGUCAACCCUAGCAAGCUCCUCGCUGAGAUUACAAACUGCAGUUCCUGCCUGAGCCGGAGAGGAUGCUGGAGC